UCCCCUAGUAACGGCGAGUGAAGAGGGAAAAGCUCAAAUUUAAAAUCUGGCGGUCUACGGCCGUCCGAGUUGUAAUCUAGAGAAGUGUUUUCCGCGCUGGACCGUGUACAAGUCCUUUGGAACAAGGCGUCAUAGAGGGUGAGAAUCCCGUCUACGACACGGACUGCCAAGCGCUUUGUGAUACACUCUCAACGAGUCGAGUUGUUUGGGAAUGCAGCUCAAAAUGGGUGGUAAAUUCCAUCUAAAGCUAAAUAUGGGCGAAAGACCGAUAGCGAACAAGUACCGUGAGGGAAAGAUGAAAAGCACUUUGGAAAGAGAGUUAAACAGUACGUGAAAUUGUUGAAAGGGAAACGCUUGAAGUCAGUCGCGUCUUCAGAAAUUCAGCAGGGCUUCUGCCCUGUGUACUUUUCUGUGGGACGGGCCAGCAUCAGUUUUGGCUGCCAGAAAAAGGUGGGAGGAAGGUGGCACCUCUGGGUGUGUUAUAGCCUCCGAUCGUAUGUGGCAGCCGGGACUGAGGACUGCAGCACGCCUUCAUGGCCGGGGUUCGCCCACGUAACGUGCUUAGGAUGCUGGCGUAAUGGCUUUAAGCGACCCGUCUUGAAACACGGACCAAGGAGUCUAACAUGCCUGCGAGUAUUUGGGUGGCAAACCCAUAUGCGCAAUGAAAGUGAACGGUUGGGACUUCUGUCAUGGAAGGCACCGACGCCCGGACCAGACCUAUUGUGACGGAUCCGAGGUAGAGCAUGUAUGUUGGGACCCGAAAGAUGGUGAACUAUGCCUGAGUAGGGUGAAGCCAGAGGAAACUCUGGUGGAGGCUCGUAGCGAUUCUGACGUGCAAAUCGAUCGUCGAACUUGGGUAUAGGGGCGAAAGACUAAU
rnacentral:rRNA from 1 species